UACCAGCACCCCGAGUGGUCGGGACGAUUAUUGGGCCUAAAGCAUCCGUAGCCGGUUUUACAAGUCCUCCGUUAAAUCCAGCUGCUUAACAGAUGGGCUGCGGAGGAUACUAUAAGACUAGGAGGCAGGAGAGGCAAGCGGUACUCAGUGGGUAGGGGUAAGACCCUUUGAUCCAUUGAAGACCACCAGUGGCGAAGGCGGCUUGCCAGAACGCGCUCGACGGUGAGGGAUGAAAGCUGGGGGAGCAAACCGG
rnacentral:rRNA from 1 species